rnacentral:rRNA from 1 species
AACGAACGCUGGCGGCGUGCCUAACACAUGCAAGUCGAACGAGAAAGGGGCUUCGGCCCUGAGUAAAGUGGCGCACGGGUGAGUAACACGUGGGUAACCUGCCUCUAAGAUUGGGAUAACCCGUCGAAAGAUGGGCUAAUACCGAAUAAGACCACAGUUUCCUCGGAAGCAGGGGUCAAAGGUAGCCUCUAUUUAUAAGCUAUCACUCAGAGAUGGGCCCGCGCACCAUUAGCUAGUUGGUAGGGUAACGGCCUACCAAGGCAAAGAUGGUUAGCUGGUCUGAGAGGAUGACCAGCCACACCGGAACUGAGACACGGUCCAGACUCCUACGGGAGGCAGCAGUGGGGAAGAUUGCGCAAUGGGCGAAAGCCUGACGUAGCAACGCCGCGUGAGUGAUGAAGGCCUUCGGGUCGUAAAGCUCUGUCGGAGGGAACGAACGCUUUCGAGGUUAACAGCCUCGGAAAGUGACGGUACCCUCAAAGGAAGCACCGGCUAACUCUGUGCCAGCAGCCGCAGUAACAC